CCUACGGGGGGCAGCAGUGAGGAAUAUUGGUCAAUGGACGAGAGUCUGAACCAGCCAAGCCGCGUGAAGGAUGACGGCCCUAUGGGUUGUAAACUUCUUUUAUAAGGGAAUAAAACGAGGUACGCGUGCCUUUUUGCAUGUACUUUAUGAAUAAGGAUCGGCUAACUCCGUGCCAGCAGCCGCGGUAAUACGGAGGAUCCGAGCGUUAUCCGGAUUUAUUGGGUUUAAAGGGUGCGUAGGUGGGUGGUUAAGUCAGUUGUGAAAGUUUGAGGCUCAACUGUGAAAUUGCAUUUGAUACUGGCAGUCGUGAGGACAGUUGAGGUAGGCGGAAUUCGUGGUGUAGCGGUGAAAUGCUUAGAGAUCACGGAGAACACCGAUUGCGAAGGCAGCUUACCAAGCUAUGACUGACAUUGAUGCUCGAAAGUGUGGGGAUCAAACAGGAUUAGAUACCCCAGUAGUC
rnacentral:rRNA from 1 species